AUUGGUAGUUACCAGAGGUGAGGGAGGCAGAGGGGAGAAAUGGGUGAACUGCUUUUAUCUCUUUUUGUUGUUGUUGUUUAAAUAAAUUGAAUAAAAAAAAAAACAGAAAAACAAAGAAAAAAUGAAAAGAGGUGAAUCAAACAUCCAUGGAUUAUGGGACAACUUGAAAAGGCAUAGCAUGCACAUAAUUGGAAUACAAGAAGGAGAAUAAAGAGAGAACAGACCAGAAAUAUGUUUGAAGUAAUAAUGUCCAAAACUUUUGAAAAAUUAAUGAUGACACAAAAGCACAGAUCCAGGAAGUUUAGAGAAUACAGUGUAGGAUAAACACCAAGAAAUCUACACCUAGGUAUAUCUUGUGUAUUAUUAGUCAAGAGUCUCCAGAGAAACAAAAUCAAUGGGAUAUGUAGAGAGACACAAAAGAGGAGAUUUAUUAUGGGAAUUGGCUCACAUGAUUAUGGGUGAACCCCCACCUAUAGUUAUAAUUAUAUAAACAUAAGAAUAAAAAGGUAGGGGGUGGUGGGUAGGGUAGUUUUCAAAGAAUAAAAAAGACUUGUGAGAUAAUAACAAGUGCAACGUGUAAUUCUUGCAUGGAUUUGAACCAACCAACUAUAACAAGUCAGGAAACUAAAAUCAGGAAACUGAAUAUGGACUGGCUAUUACUGAUCUUAAAGAAUUAAUUUUAAAUUUUGAAGGCAUGAUAAUGUCAUGGGGAUAUACCUUAAUAGUUAGAGAUGCACACUGAAUUAUUUAGGGUGAAAUUAAAUGAUAUCCCUGUGUGAUCGGCAGAAUAAUGGCCCCCAAAGAUGUCUACAUUCUAUUCUCUGGAACCUGUGAAUAUGUUACUCUACGUGGCAAAAGAGACUUUGCAGCUGUGAUUAAAUUAAGGCUCUGCUGAAGGAGGGAUACCCUGGAUUAUCCAGCAAUAGCCUUAAUCCAAGCUCCCCUUCAAACUGAGCUCCUGGAAUCUUCUCUCUAACUUCCCGCUGCCACAUCGAGCUCCCUGCAGAGACAGCAUGGCCGGCUCCCUCCUGUCGUUCAUUUCUCAGCUCAGUGUCACAUCCUCAGAGAAUCCCUCUCUGACUUCAGCCUCCCUGGUUCCAAUCAGGACAUGAAGGGAAUGUGCCAAGACGCCAGAGAAUAAGCCAGUCCUCACAAACUCUCCAGCCAAGCUCUGCAAACUCUGGAAGGCGGAAUCGAGACUGGUAAUGAACUUGGGCACUCAGGCCAGGUCAGCUCUGAGCUCUUUUGAACGGUGACUGGCAGCCCCCGUCCCUGCUGGGAAGGGCCCUCACUUCUCCCCCCGGCCAGGCCACCCUGAGUCCCUGCACCAACCACACAGAUCCUCAUCGUGUGUCUGCCCGCCACCGGGUGCCCUCUUCCCCUGGGGCUUUAUGGAGAGAAAGGUAUUGGCCUCAAAGACCUGUGGGAUUCCCAGGUCCUCUAGUCUCCCCGGAAUCCUUCUCCUCCCCCGUCUAGACUCAUUUCUCCCUCAGCCUCUGUGGCACCGUGCUCAUCACUGUGUCUCAGUGCUUAGUUCUUAGUUGGCCUGCCUUGAUCCAGACUCAUGAGUGGAUCUGUUGUCCCCAAAGCCUGUGAUCCCCACCCAGGUGCCCUGCCCCAUGUGCACCCACUGGUUUGCUCUGGGAGGAAAAAAGAAAAGGAAAGACAAAAUCACCAAACAGCAGUGGAUCAGGCCCUUCCUCGUACUCCCUCUCUUCCUUUCCAUGGUGUGCUGCCACUCUCAUGGCUCCACGUCAUGGUUAUUUGCUGUGGUUUUUGUAGCAAAUAAAGAACGAUAGUUGAGUUUUCUCAGUGAUCUUCCCUACUAGGCUGUGCAUCCCUGAGAGCAGGGCCCACGCUGGGGGCAAGUGUUCAGUGGGGCCUGAAUGGCACACAGUAGGUGUGCACCAAACUGAGCGGCAUUGAAAUUUCAGUUUCAGUUUCAGAUCCGGCCCAGUUCCUCGUGUCUAAUUAGCUCCAGCUAUCUCUCUAUUGGUGAGAAGAGAACGAACGGAAGAACGAGCUCAUUCAAGUUUGGGGUAGAAGGAGAAAGUCAGAGCCCACGAUGCCCUGAGCACAGGCUGAAGACGAGAGAAUGCCUGUGGGGAGGAAGAGAGAGACCCAUUUUAAUUGGAAAGCUUUUCUUAUGAUUCCUUUUCUUCUUCUUGUUUUUAAGUUUCAGUCUUGGAUCCUAGAAAUUACAGGCUCCUACAGCAUCGCCUCUGCGGUCGGAAAAAAUGCUCAUUUCACUUUUAAAACAAACAAUGGAAAGUUCCUUUUAAAAGGAAAAAUCUUAUUAGCCCAAGUCCAAGGAAAUCACCCGAGAGUUUCAGUCAGAUCUGCAGGGAUUGCCCACGGGGCAGAGGGGGCCCGGGAGGCAGGCCUGAGGGAGGGUCUGUCUGACCUCCCCCCGUCAAGGGCUCCCCUUCUCCGGAGAAGCACCACCCACCCUCCCCGCGGGCCAAGCACGCAGAAGACCUCACAGAGAACAAACGCAGGAGGAAACCGCGCAGACAUGAAAGGGAGGAGAAUAUCCUUUACCCAAAUAAACAGCCAGAGGAAGAUGCAGAGGGAAGCGAAUCCCAUCAGACAAAGCCACAAAUUAAGAUCACAGGACACUGGGCUUGGGAGUCGCGCUCUGUCUGUAAAACAUCUUCCAGGAAAGCUGCCCUUGGGCAACCCUGUCAUCUUGCUGGUCCCUCUGCUCAUGCUAGGCCAAGAGUGGCCCUGCCACCGGCAUCUGGAGGUG
ensembl:lncRNA